CCUACGGGAGGCAGCAGUGGUGGAUAUUGCACAAUGGGGGAAACCCUGAUGCAGCGACGCCGCGUGAGUGAAGAAGUAUUUCGGUAUGUAAAGCUCUAUCAGCAGGGAAGAAAAUGACAGUACCUGACCAAGAAGCCCCGGCUCACUGCGUGCCAGCAGCCGCGGUAAUACGUCGGGGGCAAGCGUUAUCCGGUUUUACUGGGUGUAAAGGGAGCGUAGACGGUUAUGUAAGGCUGGAGUGAAAUCCCGGGGGCCAACCCCGGGACUGCUUUGGAAACUGUGUAACUGGAGUACAGGAGGGGCAUGCGGAAUGCCUGGUGUAGCGGUGAAAGGCGUAGAUAUCAGGAGGAACACCGGCGGCGAAGGCAGCCUACUGGACUGAAACUGACGUUGAGGCUCGAAAGCGUGGGGAGCAAACAGGAUUAGAUACCCGUGUAGUC
rnacentral:rRNA from 1 species